CAUAUCAGGAAAUUAAACAAUUUUAUUUGAUGAUAAAAAAUGAGUUGAGUUAAACAUUCUCCAUAUAGCAACAGGGCAUUGCAAGUUAUAUGGAAUGUAUUCAUUGAGGAAACUGCAAAGAGAGGAGAUAACUCACUGGACCAAGGUACUUGAUACAUUGUUGAUGAAGCUUGUGUCGAGGGCAGUGUUCAAGGUUGACUUCUUUUCCUUCUCCUAAAUCCAGCCUACAUUUCCAAAAUCAAAUUACCCAUUUAUCAUUUGAAUGUUCAUGCACAUAUAGACUGAACUGAAUCGAUGAGAAAAUAAAAGAAAAAUCCUGUUGAUAAUUUUUCUUUUUUUCUUUUGUUCAAUAUUACCAGUAGAAAAAUGGUUGUCUGCUGUCACAAUGGAGCCAAGCAACAUAAUAAAAUUGCAGAUUAUGACCGUAUCGAUGGCGAGGAUCAAUCUAUAUGUUAUGG
rnacentral:lncRNA from 1 species